UUACUCAUAAAAUAAGUCACAACAUCACCGAAAACUACCACAUGCUCUUAUUUUAAAUAUUGAACUCUCAUAAUUAGAAAUUUCUCCCCUUUCAAACUGAAAUGAUAUAUAACAAAUGAAUGGCACAACCAUGUAAAUCUUUCAUUUUAAAUGUUAAACCGAAUGGACUCUUAAAAGUGAAGGGUAAGGCAUGUUCACCUUUUUCUCCUUUGUUGAUCUUACCAAAACUGCAGCCAAAUGCAAGUAUAAAGUAUAUUUUUGAUUUUGCCAUUUGAUUCGGGACUUUCCAUUUUUAAUU
rnacentral:lncRNA from 1 species